CCCGCGCCCGCGGACCGUGCAGGAGCCCCUGGAGCCCGGGCCUCCCGCCCAGCCGAGGAGGAGGCGGCGCUCGCAGGGCGGUAAGCGAAGGCCGCACUUGGGGCGCUGCUGGGCGCCCCGCGCGCGUCCAGGGCUCUCCCGCCGCGCCGCUGGGGGGUCUUAGCUCCGGGUGGGCGGCCCUGCCCUGCUCCCUCGCUUCCGGUCCAGAGGCGCGUGGCCCUGCCCAUCCCACCCGAGGCCCGUGGAAGGGACCCCGAAACAGUCACGGCGGAGACCCGUCUUCACGCCACGGAAAGCUGGCCCUGGGUACCCGCGGGCCGGGGCGCCGAGUGAGACCCGCCAUCCGCUGAGCAGCUCCCACUUGGGCUGACUUUGCCACCCGGGCCUGCUUAGCCAGGGCCCAGCAAGCCAGGCUCGAUUUAACGUCUGUGCGUGCGUGCGCGUGUGCGUGUGCGUGCGCACGUCUGCACGUCUGCACGUCUGCACGUCUGCACGUCUGCACAGAUCUACAGUGGGAGUCAAAGCAAAGUGGUGAUGCAGCCUUUGCAGAAGCUGUUUGCAGAAGCUGCUUCCAGGAGCACACGUUUAGGAAGAAUUAAAUGAAAGUUCUGAUGGCUGGGUCCUACAGGAGGGUCUCACUAUGUCCCAGACGGCCCUCCAUCUUGCAGCGAUCCUCCUGCCUCAGCCUCCCAAGUGCUGGGACUAAAGCAACUAUACAGCUGGAUGUUGUAGAAGCGGAGACAGAGGAGAUAACCCAAGGAAAUGCACUCCUCAGGGCCCGGAGAACCACCAAGCGAUUAUCUGUGACGUCUCUGCCGUCAGGGCUGCAAAAGGUAUCAUAUUCAUCAAAAAAGAGACCAUAUUUUCCGGUGCUUAAAAAAAAGAAACGUGGCAUGGAAAACAUCCUCCAAAAAUCAGAUCUGACAAUAGGAAAGCUUCAAAUGCAGGUGGACGACCUUAUCGAAACAGUGACUGAUAAAUCCAUGAAGCUGUUGGCUCAGAGACACGCCGAGCUUCAGCAGUGUGAGUUUCUAGGAGAUGAAAUUCUUCAGUCUUCUAAGCAGUUCCAGAGGAUGUCCAAGAGAACCACGAGGAAGUACAAACUGAAAAAUGUGUGCUUCCCCUGUACCUGCUGCUGCUGA
rnacentral:lncRNA from 1 species